ACUAGCCUAACUGAAAUCACAAAAUCACAGAUAGGUGCUUAUUGUGAUAACGUAAGGGAAAAAUUUGAUAUUACCUUACUAUAAGUGUUGUCUAAAUAACUGGUGCCAGAAGACUCGGUAACACCAGAAACGCGAACGUUAGUCGUCUUAAACAGGCGUAAAGGGUAAGUAGGCUGCUUUAAAUUUUUAUUUUUAUAAAAGCUAAUUUAUAAUUUCUGCUUAGUAAUAAUUUCUUGCUGCGCUAAUAACAAGAAUCAAGCUACUAAAAAUUUUCAGAAUAAUUUAUUAAAAUUAACACUCUUAAAUUUGAAUUGCUAGCUACUUGUAAUUGCUUCGCUAUAGCGAAGCAAGACUUACUAAGCUAAGAAAUUUAAUUGCUAGUGCUAGUAAGUGAAUAAUCAAUUCAAUGAUAAUUAAACUAACUAAAAACUUAAAUUAAUAAAUUAAAUAAAGAUAGAUAUACUUAAAGCUAGAAUCAUAAUUGAGAUAAACCAAAUAAUACUUAAGUGUAAGGGUAAAAUCUAAAAAUACUAAGUAGAAUACUAACGGUGAAAACUUUUUAUCUAGGAGUGAUUGACGCUGAGGUACGAAAGUGAGAACAGGGAAUAGGAUUAGAUACCCAGUUACCUCUCACCGUCAACGAUGAAUGGUAGUUGUUAGUAGUUAGUCUCGUUAGUAAAAUUAAUUCUCAAUAGCGUAGCAAUUAAAUUAACUAGCGAAACAACUUCAAUUAAAACUAGUGACGAUGUUAACGCGAUAACCAUUCCGCAUUGAGAGUACGGUUGCAAAACUGAAACCAAAAAAAUUAGUCGGUCUCGGAGCAA
rnacentral:rRNA from 1 species